UACGUAGGUGACAAGCGUUGUCCGGAUUUACUGGGCGUAAAGAGCGCGCAGGCGGUCGAUCAAGUCGAGUGUGAAAGCCCCCGGCUCAACUGGGGAGGGUCAUUCGAUACUGAUCGACUCGAAGGCAGGAGAGGGUAGUGGAAUUCCCGGUGUAGUGGUGAAAUGCGUAGAUAUCGGGAGGAACACCAGUGGCGAAGGCGACUACCUGGCCUGUUCUGACGCUGAGGCGCGAAAGCUA
rnacentral:rRNA from 1 species